rnacentral:rRNA from 1 species
GACGAACGCUGGCGGCGUGCCUAAUACAUGCAAGACGAGCGAAUCAAUAGGAGCUUGCUCCUGUUGGUUAGCGGCGGACGGGUGAGUAACACGUGGGCAACCUGCUUGUAAGACUGGGAUAACAUCGGGAAACCGAUGCUAAUACCGGAUAAUCCAUUCCCUCUCCUGAGGGAAUGCUGAAAGUCGGUUUCGGCUGACACUUACAGAUGGUCCCGCGGCGCAUUAGCUAGUUGGUGAGGUAACGGCGCACCAAGGCUACGAUGCGUAGCCGACCUGAGAGGGUGAUCGGCCACACUGGGACUGAGACACGGCCCAGACUCCUACGGGAGGCAGCAGUAGGGAAUCUUCCACAAUGGACGAAAGUCUGAUGGAGCAACGCCGCGUGAGCGAUGAAGGCCUUCGGGUCGUAAAGCUCUGUUGUUAGGGAAGAACAAGUACCGGAGUAACUGCCGGUACCUUGACGGUACCUAACCAGAAAGCCACGGCUAACUACGUGCCAGCCGCCGCCGUAAUAC